rnacentral:rRNA from 1 species
GACGAACGCUGGCGGCGUGCUUAACACAUGCAAGUCGAACGCUGAAGCUUGGUGCUUGCACUGGGUGGAUGAGUGGCGAACGGGUGAGUAAUAAGUGAGUAACCUGCCCUUGACUCUGGGAUAAGCCUGGGAAACUGGGUCUAAUACUGGAUACGACAUGUCACCGCAUGGUGGUGUGUGGAAAUGGUUUUGCUGGUUUUGGAUGGGCUCACGGCCUAUCAGCUUGUUGGUGGGGUAAUGGCUCACCAAGGCGACGACGGGUAGCCGGCCUGAGAGGGUGACCGGCCACACUGGGACUGAGACACGGCCCAGACUCCUACGGGAGGCAGCAGUGGGGAAUAUUGCACAAUGGGCGGAAGCCUGAUGCAGCGACGCCGCGUGAGGGAUGACGGCCUUCGGGUUGUAAACCGCUUUCAGCACGGAAGAAGCGAAAGUGACGGUACAUGCAGAAGAAGCGCCGGCUAACUACGUG